UCUAAACCGGAAGAUUGUGGCUCUUGCAGCUCCAGAGACACUCACCGGAACUGAUGUUUACGACACUCCACAACCAAAUCAGGUAGUGAACCAAUAAAGAGGAGAUGGCAAGAGUGUUUCCAACAACCAAAAUUGAAAAAGGGUGAGGCAAAGGAUCAGAGGAGGAGACAUAAACCGGAGCAAGCGGAGCGCCCCUAAUCCCGAUUAGAAGCCUGUCUACUGGUGAUAAUCAGGACCACUACCGAAUCAAAUUGAGCCACUCUUUAGAGUCGUAUAAGUAAUUGUUGGUAAUAGGGAAUGAAGACAGAAACAUUUAAAUGAAAAAACAAUGUAGGGCCUGUUUUUUUCUCCA